UGUGUGGUUCUCGCGCCGGGGAGAGAGAGAGCGCAAGAGAGAGAGAGAGAGAGGGAGAGCGGGAGAGGAAAGAAAGAGAGAGAGAGAGAGUAAGAACGAGAGAGAGGGACGGAGAGAGAGUUAGAGAGAGAAAGAGAGCAGACGAGCGGCGACCAUGAACUUCUGAAUCGGAUGAAACCGGCCGUGAUUUAAUUUGCAACACUGAAAUUGGCGCUAUCGUCAUAGUGUUAAGGAACUCAACUGAGAGAUUGCACAAGUGCUGCCAUCUGUGGGUCGCACGCUCACUAUGGCUGCCUUAGCCUUCUUGCUUGUCUUUGUGGCUUCCUCGGCAGCGGGGGAAGUGACGCUGGUCCACGAGGGGCUCGGCGCGGGGUCCUCCUGGGGCUACUCCCUCCUGCCGUCGACCUUCCCGCUCUCCUGGGAUGAGGCCAGGUCGGCGUGCGAGGUCGUGCCCGGGUCAAUGCUGG